rnacentral:rRNA from 1 species
UACGGAGGGGGCAAGCGUUAUUCGGAAUUAUUGGGCGUAAAGGGCGCGUAGGCGGCUAGAUGUGUCAAAGGUGAAAUCCCUCGGCUCAACUGAGGAACUGCCUUUGAAACUGUCUGGCUUGAGGCCGGGAGAGGGUAGCGGAAUUCCCAGUGUAGCGGUGAAAUGCGUAGAUAUUGGGAGGAACACCAGUGGCGAGGGCGGCUACCUGGACCGGUUCUGACGCUGAGGCGCGAAAGCGUGGGUAGCAAACAGG